GAUGAACGCUGGCGGCGUGCCUAACACAUGCAAGUCGAACGGAACCUUCGGGUUUAGUGGCGAACGGGUGAGUAAAGCGCAGGUAAUCUGCCGCAAAGUCGGGGACAACGUUCCGAAAGGGACGCUAAUACCGGAUGUUGUGCGGAGUCCGCAUGGAUUCUGUACUAAAGAUUUAUCGCUUUGUGAGGAGCCUGCGUCCGAUUAGGUAGUUGGUAGAGUAAAAGCCUACCAAGCCGACGAUCGGUAGCCGGUCUGAGAGGAUGAACGGCCACAAUGGAACUGAGACACGGUCCAUACUCC
rnacentral:rRNA from 1 species